UGCAGUCGAGCGGAACGAGUUAUCUGAACCUUCGGGGGACGAUAACGGCGUCGAGCGGCGGACGGGUGAGUAAUGCCUGGGAAAUUGCCCUGAUGUGGGGGAUAACCAUUGGAAACGAUGGCUAAUACCGCAUAAUAGCUUCGGCUCAAAGAGGGGGACCUUCGGGCCUCUCGCGUCAGGAUAUGCCCAGGUGGGAUUAGCUAGUUGGUGAGGUAAGGGCUCACCAAGGCGACGAUCCCUAGCUGGUCUGAGAGGAUGAUCAGCCACACUGGAACUGAGACACGGUCCAGACUCCUACGGGAGGCAGCAGUGGGGAAUAUUGCACAAUGGGCGCAAGCCUGAUGCAGCCAUGCCGCGUGUAUGAAGAAGGCCUUCGGGUUGUAAAGUACUUUCAGCAGUGAGGAAGGUGGUGUACUUAAUACGUGCAUCAUUUGACGUUAGCUGCAGAAGAAGCACCGGCUAACUCCGUGCCAGCAGCCGCGGUAAUACGGAGGGUGCGAGCGUUAAUCGGAAUUACUGGGCGUAAAGCGCAUGCAGGUGGUUUGUUAAGUCAGAUGUGAAAGCCCGGGGCUCAACCUCGGAAUUGCAUUUGAAACUGGCAGACUAGAGUACUGUAGAGGGGGGUAGAAUUUCAGGUGUAGCGGUGAAAUGCGUAGAGAUCUGAAGGAAUACCGGUGGCGAAGGCGGCCCCCUGGACAGAUACUGACACUCAGAUGCGAAAGCGUGGGGAGCAAACAGGAUUAGAUACCC
rnacentral:rRNA from 1 species